UAUACCUUAGUUUAUGAUGAACUUGGAUUUUUGGUAUCCUAGGAGAUAGUUUAAUUCUGUCAGGUGUAG
rnacentral:tRNA from 3 species